rnacentral:rRNA from 1 species
AUUCCAGCUCCAAUAGCGUAUAUUAAAGUUGUUGCGGUUAAAAAGCUCGUAGUUGGAUUUCUGCCGAGGACGACCGGUCCGCCCUCUGGGUGAGUAUCUGGCUCGGCCUGGGCAUCUUCUUGGAGAACGUAGCUGCACUUGACUGUGUGGUGCGGUAUCCAGGACUUUUACUUUGAGGAAAUUAGAGUGUUUCAAGCAGGCACACGCCCUGAAUACAUUAGCAUGGAAUAAUAAGAUAGGACCUCGGUUCUAUUUUGUUGGUUUACGGGACCGAAGUAAUGAUUAACAGGGACAGUUGGGGCCGUUUAUAUUUCGUUGUCAGAGGUGAAAUUCUUGGAUUUACGAAAGAUAAACUUCUGCGAAAGCAUUCGGCAAGGAUGUUUUCAUUA